ACAACGGCCCUUAUCAGGGCCCCAAAUUUAUUUAUAUGUUGGCUAU
rfam:Camponotus floridanus CamFlo_1.0_1.contig4357, whole genome shotgun sequence.